AUCUCCCAGAAAUCUUGUUAAAAUGCAGAUUCAGAUUCAGCAAAUCUGGAGUGAGGCCUGAGAUUCUGCAUUUUUAGCAAGCUCCCAGGUGGUGUUGA
rnacentral:pre_miRNA from 1 species